rnacentral:miRNA from 2 species
ACUGAGAUCGAUUGGUGCAUAGA